GAACCUUUUGAACUUUCUCAAGGUUGACCUCGGAUCANGUAGGGAUACCCGCUGAACUUAAGCAUAUCAAUA
rnacentral:rRNA from 1 species